UACGUAGGGGGCAAGCGUUGCCCGGAAUCAUUGGGCGUAAAGCGCGUGUAGGCGGCUCGGUAAGUCUGCUCUGAAAGCCCGGGGCUCAACCCUGGGAGGCGGGUGGAUACUGCUGAGCUCGAGUUCGGAAGAGGCGAGUGGAAUUCCUGGUGUAGCGGUGAAAUGCGCAGAUAUCAGGAGGAACACCAAUGGCGAAGGCAGCUCGCUGGGACGGUACUGACGCUGAGACGCGAAAGCGUGGGGAGCAAACAGG
rnacentral:rRNA from 1 species